rnacentral:rRNA from 1 species
ACGAACGCUGGCGGGCGUGGAUAAGACAUGCAAGUCGAACGACUAUUUGAGGGGUAGCAAUAUUUUUCAAGUGGGAGUGGCGCAAGGGUGCGUAACACGUGGGGUAAUCUUGCCGAGAAGUUUGGGAUAACUCGCUGAAAGGCGAGCUAAUACCGGAUGUGACAACUGGGGAGGCAUCUUCUGGUUGUUAAGUUGGGGACCGUAAGGCCUGACGCUUUUUGAUGAAACCCGCGGCCUAUCAGCUAGUUGGUGAGGUAACGGCUCUCACCAAGGCAAGACGGGGUAGCUGGUCUGAGAGGACGACCAGCCAACACUGGAACUGAAGACCACGUCCAGACACCUACGGGGUGGGCAGCAGUCGAGAAUUUUUUCACAAUGGGCGCAGCCUGAUGGAGCGACGCCGCGUGGGGGGAUGAAUGGCUUCGGCCCGUAAAACCCGUUCAUUUGCGAUUCAAACCUCAUUAUUUAAAAGAUGAAUGGGGCUGAUAGUAGCGAAAGAGGAAGGGACGGCCUAACUCUGUGCCAGCAGCCCGCGGUAAUACAGAGGUCCCAAGGCGUUGUUCGGAUUCACUGGGCGUAAAGGGUGCGGUAGGUGGUUGAGGUAAGUCGGAUGUGAAAUCCUCGGGAGCUCAACUCCGAAAAUGGCAUUGGAAAACUAGCCUUGCCUCGAGGGUGGAGGGGGGACCUGGAAAUACUUGGUUGUAGCAGUGGAAAUGCGUAGAUAUCAAGUGGGGAAACACCAGUGGGCGAAGGCCGAGUCCCUGGACAACUCCCUGACCACUGAGGCACGAAAGCUAGGGGAGCAAACCAGGAUUAGAUACCCUGGUAGUCCUAGCCGUAAACGGUGCAACUGUUGCUGUAAAAGGAAUCGACCCCUUUUGUGGCGGAGCCAACGCGGUUAAAUGUGCCGCCUGGGGAAGUACGGUCGCAAGAUUAAAAACUCAAAGAAAUUGACGGGGGCCUGCACAAGCGGUGGAGUAUGUGGCCUCAAUUCGAUUGCAACGCGAAGAACCUUACCUGGCCUUGACAUGCAUAUAGUAGAAGGGUGAAAAGCCUGACGAGGGUAGCAAUACCAGUGAUGCACAGGUGCUGCAUGGCUGUCGUCAGCUCGUGUCGUUGAGAUGUUGGGUUAAGUCCCCGCAACGAGCGCACCCCUGUGUCCUUGUUUGCCCCCCCGGUCGUAAGGUAAGAUCGGGAGCACUCUGGACAGACUGGGCCUCGCUUAAACGAGGAGGGAAGGUGGGGAUGGACGUCCAAGUCAGUAUGGCCCUUACGGCCUAGGGCUGCACACGUACUACAAUGCCCGGCACAAAGGGAAGCGAGGGACCGUAAAGGUGGAAGCAAAAUCCCCAAAAACCGGGCCCAGUUCAGAUUUGUCGUCUGCAAACUCGACGGCAAUGAAGCUGGAAUCGCUAGUAAUGGCGCCAAUCAGCUACGGCGCCGUGAAAUUACGUUCGCCAGGCCUUGUACACACCGCCCGUCCACAUCAUGAAAGCCGUUUUUGGUACCCGAAGUCACUGUAUUCCAACCGCAAGGAAGCAGGUUGCCGAAGGUAUGGAUGGGUGAUUGGGAUG